CCAACUCCCCCCUCAGCUUCACUUUGAGUCAGUGGAGUGUUAACGCCUAAAUGUCAGACUGCAAACAAAACACGUCAAAGAGGAGAAAAGUGACUCUGAAAGCACGUCUGAAGAGAGCAUUUUGGAACCUCGCUGAUAAGUCAGAUUGCUCAUUCUUUAAUCACGACGUGACUUAAAGUAACAUUUUCCAAGCAGUGGAAGAUGUGACAACGGCGGAUGUCCAGCUGUGGUCCUCUGGACCAAGGACAGGAGCACAGUGCAUGAAUCACACCUCUGCUGCUCCGUGACAUGAUACCAUGGCAGUGUGUCAGGAUUAAUAAACGCCAGCUGAUUGAGGCAG